rnacentral:sRNA from 1 species
UCGUCAUGGACCGCUCGGUAAGGGUUCACACACCAGCCCUGGUCCCUGCCCUCCUGGUUGCUGUCUCCCUCCCUGGGCCUCCCAGAAAACCCUCUUGCCAGCACUCAGGUCUCAGUUCCUGCAGCCUGAGAUAAAGCAAGGUGGAAGAGGAGGGAGGAAGGCUGCUCUGAGGAGAAUACCCCGGAGUCUGGGCAGCACAGGGGGCCCAGGGAGGCUGGAGGAGGCCAGAACGCUGGGUGGGCUGGGAAGAGCUUCUGGAGCUGGGGGAGGGGCUGCUGCUAGGGGGCUGAGGCCCAGGCUUCUGUCUGGCUGUGGGUGCCUGCUAAUUGCCCCUCGUCACCCAGACCGACAUCGUGAAAGCCAUCGCCCGCCUCAUUGAGUUCUAUAAGCACGAGAGCUGUGGCCAGUGUACCCCAUGUCGUGAGGGUGUGGACUGGAUGAACAAGGUGAUGGCACGUUUCGUGAGGGGGGACGCCCAGCCGGCCGAGAUCGAUUCCCUGUGGGAGAUCAGCAAGCAGAUAGAAGGCCAUACGAUUUGUGCUCUGGGUGACGGGGCCGCCUGGCCUGUGCAGGGUCUGAUCCGCCACUUUCGGCCGGAGCUCGAGGAGCGGAUGCAGCGGUUUGCCCAGCAGCAUCAGGCCCAGCAGGCUGCCUCUUAGCCCACCACUCUGGCCUGCUGUCCUGCGUCUAUCCGUCUGGAAUGCUGGACAAUAAAGCGAGUGCUGCCCACCCUCCC